AAAUAGAAAAUGUGACUACAUGGCAUCUGGCUAUGAAAAUAUUUAGAAGAAGAUUUAUAUGCCAUUAAAAUCGAUAAUCUAAGGUGAAAAAACUAAGGUUCUCCGAUAAAUCCAAGUAACUGUCAGCUGGAUAUACCACAAGUCAUUAUUUACUAACAAUGUGCAGGUUCUAGAACACAGAAAUUGUCAUACAAUGGUAAUGAUAGCAUUAUAUAUUUGAAUUCCACAAUAUCCUGGUUAGGUAGGGAAUAUUCUUUCCUCUUUUUAAUAUUUAAGGAAACAGAGUCUAUCUUGGGAGAUACCUGAUAGUAUCAACAUCUGGAGCAGGGUUAGAAUCCAGAUUGUUUUGACUCCAUCUUACACAUUAAGCCACACUGCUAGAAGGGGGCUUAACAUCCUAAAAUAUUCACUUCACAGAUUAAAGCACUUCCAUUAUAUCUCUGGAUAAAGAAACACGUGGUGCAGUACAAUCACCCUGGAGUCCUGUAGGACUACAGGCCCAUCCAUACCAAGAACAACAAAUGGGAGAGUCUAUCUUUGUAACAGGGCCUGACACAGCUCCACUGACUCCAUACCACAAAGAUCAAGUCAAGCCCUGUGCAACAGACACUCCAAACCAGAAGAAAAACAAAGAGAAAACAGCACCCUGUAAUCAGUAAUGAUUGCCAGGUCCAGUAGCUUUUCCAUCCACCUUCCAAAUUAGCAAGAAAUGAAAUGUUGACUACUAACUGGCAACUCAAUAUAGCAACUUGAAUCCUGCUUUUUCCCCAGCACUGAAAAAUAAUGAACAAGAAAGAAAGGUUAUGGGGCUAUAGGCAGGACAGACCAGCUAAAGUUAUACAUGUAUUAGCAUCUUGCUGCCCCUUGCUCAAACACAAAAGAGGGUAGGAAGUUAUGGUGAAAAAUUCAAGAUAGUUUACUACCUAAAGGCUCAGAUUACAAAUAUAUUUGAAGUAAAUUUUUCUUACUGUUAUUCUUAAUUGUGUUUUUUUCCUAUCGUGGGAAAAGAUUAAGAACUAUUUCCUGCCUUUCCUCCCAGCCCCUCACCCCCCCCACAACACAUCCAUAAAACAAUUACAAUAAUCUCAAAAGAAUCACCUGUGUUCAAGAAUACCCCCCAACCCCCACCACACAAAAUCAUGAUCUAGAGAAGGACUAGAAAUAAAGAGAAAACAAUGAGACCUUUGAAGCUGUUCCAGGACUUCUACAACAUCUGUAGCACACCCAACUAAUUAGCAUAUUAGGGAGAGCUACUGUAUUGAGCAAGAGAUGCACAAAAGGUAAUUCUGUUUUAUAGAGCCAAAGCCAUCUGUCACCUUGUCACAGUGAGACAAGGUAUCACAUUACAUAUUAAACAGGCGGCAAGCUUCCACCAUCAGGCUUCCAACAGUUGCUGCCCAAUCUUUCUUUUUAUAUAUAAGUGUAAAUUCAGAAUUAGUGAAAGCACUGCCUCCUCUGUCUUAGAAAGGCUUUUGGAAUUGGAGGUGCUUAGGGUGAGCAGAAUACUCAGUUUGCCUCUACUGAGAAAAUCCCACUAGAGAAUUAAAAGCAAAACAACAACAACAAAAGAUAACAUCAAGAAAAAUGAUUUUGGCUCCCUGCUUUGGCCUGGGGAGACUGAAGAAUAAGAAAGGCCAUGGGGUGGGACAGAAGAGGAAAGGUUAGGUUCACAGAUUCAACAAUUUGAGCAUCAAAAGUUAUUUAUUCAUUAUUGGAAUCUUGGCCUGAGACUUAAAAGUCAAAAAAGCUGGUCUAAACACAGAGACUCUUUUGUCACUGCACAGUCAGAUCAACUGGUUAAACUCUCAGUACAUGCAUAAAGGUAAGGAGAAAAGGAAAAGCUGAACUCUGGACAGGCAGCAAGAUGUCUAACCAAGACAAGGGAGGGAGGAAGAGAAGAGAAGGGAUUUGGGGAGAAUUGAGGUGUAGGAGAAGGGAUUGGGGAGAGAAAAAGAAGGCUGUAACAAUAUCUCAUCUUAUAAGAAAGACUUAUUACUUUUCCUACUGAAAAUGGCCUCCAAGUAAAGGGAAUGAAACAGACUAUCAACUUCCCUUUGUCUGUACAUUUUGCAUCCUAGUCAGGAAAAUUUUAAGCAUGAGCAUCUCUCAAUAUUCCUGAAAAAUAACCAAGAGCUCUAGGUCAGCAAAUAAUUUUGUUGCAACAACAAAAAGCUAUUGAAUUGUAUCUUGGGUCCUCUUACUAUUUUCAGUGGCUAAGCACCUACUAUGUGUGCAAGAUAGCAUGGCCCUUUCCACAGAGGGCAUUUAAAAUAACCUACCUCAAUCAAAGCCAGAGGCUAGUAACUUGAUCAAUCUUUCUUCAAAUGUCUGGAAGGGGGAAGGCCUGAAUUUUUUACAUAAAGUCAGAGAACCAACCCAAAUAUACUACUUAAUAAUGUAAAGUAGCAGAUCCAGCAUCAUUAUGCUGAGGAAAGUCUCUUAUUACCACUCUACCACACAGGCAAAUGGUUUACAAUGACCAAAAAGCAACAAUACUGUGACUCUGUCUCUGUACAUCUCUCCUGUCCCUCUCUCUCUCGUUUGUGCUAAUCUACAGCAGAAGUGCACGUGUGCACAAAAACAAAACAAGAGAGUAAACAGAACAGUCUCGAAAGCCACAGUAUUUGCUGAAUACUGACAUCAUAUCUGAUACUGUGCUAAGAACAGGAGAUACAAAGGGAAGAAAAAACAGUUCCUGAUUUCAAGGUGCUCUGGAUCCAAUAUGGAAGACAAAAAGUCACACAACUGCAAUUGAGAUGGCAACAGAUUUGUAAAUUCUCCGAGAAAAGAAACCAGCAAUACAAGGGGGAAAGAACUAUUGUUCAGGAAAGGAUAGACUUCUACAAUACACUGAUAAGGAAAUCCUAUCCCUGCUGUCUCUUCUCUCAUCUCUCCAUAUUGAGGAAGAGGAGGAGGAAGAAGAGGAAGAAACACAAGGAAAUUUUUGUGGAAAAUAUGCAGCUCAAGUAAACAAAUUCCAUCCAUCACCAUAUCUGAAAAUGGGAGUCUUGUUAUGGGACUUGAACCAAACCCCUCUCAGCUAUGGCUGGAGUGCCUGCAGGCUGCUAUAAUAAGCCAGCUGAGCAGGAACAAAAGAUGUACUCAUAGAAAUCUCUCCUUGAACCUUCACACUUACUAUGGUAAGCAUCAUCAGCAAAUCACUCUGCCAAUCUAGACCUCAUGCUUUUUAUAAAAAUUGAUGCACUUUAUAAAUGACUUGCUAUUAUCUUGGUUUAUAAACUUCCACC